rnacentral:rRNA from 1 species
UAGGGAAUCUUGCGCAAUGGGCGAAAGCCUGACGCAGCCAUGCCGCGUGAAUGAUGAAGGUCUUAGGAUUGUAAAAUUCUUUCACCGGGGAAGAUAAUGACGGUACCCGGAGAAGAAGCCCCGGCUAACUUCGUGCCAGCAGCCGCGGUAAUACGAAGGGGGCUAGCGUUGCUCGGAAUUACUGGGCGUAAAGGGCGCGUAGGCGGAUAUUUAAGUUGGGGGUGAAAGCCCGGGGCUCAACCUCGGAAUAGCCUUCAAUACUGGAUAUCUUGAGUUCGGGAGAGGUGAGUGGAAUGCCGAGUGUAGAGGUGAAAUUCGUAGAUAUUCGGCGGAACACCAGUGGCGAAGGCGACUCACUGGCCC